rnacentral:lncRNA from 1 species
UUUUACACUGUGAAAUAUUUGCUCAACAAUUUUUAAAUUAUUUCUUAACAUUUUAAUACUUAUUCAACAUUUUUUAAAUACGUAUUCCUUGCGCGCUUGGAAAAGAAAGCAAAAACAUGAAAAAGAAACAAGAAACAGACAGGUGCUCUUUGCGCGCUUGGACCACACCUAACACAUCUCGUCGUCACCACUUUGUAGAACCACUGCAUGUGCUCUUACCAUCCAUCAAAAGUCGUCGACCUUGUGGUCUCGGCUUUCUUCAAUGCUUGUCGUAGCUUACAUGGGUAGUCUUGUAGGAAUAAAACGAUCUGGGUCGAGGUGACCGAUCUGGAGUGAGAUCAAUCGGCCAAAUUACAAUGUUUUUCUUUAAC